rnacentral:lncRNA from 1 species
CCUCGCAACAUUCCCUCUUUCAACAAGAUUUUCGAAAUCUAUCCCCUCACCCUUGGCCUCCAAAAUAACAAAACGAGAACCUUCAAAUCGGCCAUGAUCGCCAACAUUCCUACCUUGCGAUGAGUCACUCAUCUUACCCCUCUGUCGACGUUCGACAACCAUCCAUGGGCCAAAUUCCUCCUCCUUGGCCCUAGAUUGGAGAUUUGACUUUUGAACUCUCGAACCACCUUCCACCGUCGUAUCCUCCGCCAUAGGCGCAUUUUUCUCGUAGCACAGCGUCGAGCUGUGGCCAUAGAGCCCACACGAGAAACAAAUAUUGGGUUAUCCUUCGUAUUCAACUCUUUGAAUCCUUCCAUUUAUUCUUAUUUUUGAAACUAAUGGCUUUUGCAGAUCCACACUAACAACCAGUCUCGUAAAUCUCUCUCUGACUGCUGCAUCUGUUCCAGCAUCAAUCUGAAACACUAGUCUGAUCAUACUUUCGAUGGUCCUUAGCAAAAAGUCAGAGUAAAACCCUUCAAACAGUCCUAGUAAUUGGAUCCAAACCAGUUGUUUGUCCACCUCACUGUUACUUGUUGAGAAAUCCGCAGACCAAGCUCUCACCGACAAGUAAUGACCGAAUACCACCCAUGGGCCACCCAACAGUACCUUGUCAAAGUCACCCUUAUCUUGGAAAUGGACAAGGUAAAAAUCGUUCUCCAGAUCCAAUAACUGAAAUUUACCUUUUAAAUUUCAUAGAGCAGAUACCUUAUUGAGCAAGGCUUUGAAACCUAUUUUCCUACCCAACAGCUUGAUCACAACUGUUAGAGCCAUUUUCUUUUCAAUGAAUCUAUGAACCUGAUCCGAAAACGUAAUGGAAGGGAUCCCGUUACCAUCUCUGUCGUCCCAUCCGUAUCUUGUAACUCAAAGUCCUCAUCCAUACAAACAUCCCCAUUUGGAAUCGAUAAAGCACCCAUUAACUUAGCCUUAUACGAGUCCUUUGCUACAUUGUCCUCUUGCACUGUCUGGCCAUUCCCAUCUAUUAUCGGAUCAGUCAUUAUCUCUGGCUGACGCCUGACCCUUUUCGUAGCCCUUCCAACACCACAGUCCGAGGCUAUAGAGUUAGAACCAAUAGCAAAGUUAACCAACGAGAGAGUUUCAGACAUGUUAAAAUCCUCUUCUCUAUUUCUAUUUUUUUAAUAAUUGGGUAAUGAAAAUGGAUAUUAAGGAUUGAAUCCAAAUAAGAGUCUUAUUUUCUUUUGGGCCAUAAAAGAAAUUCAUUCCAUAAAAAAGAUUUAUUAAGAGUGGAACAUGACUUGUAGCUUUGGUUGGUUUGAUUUAAAAAUAUUUGAUUUGUCAGAAUUAGUUGCGGAAAAUUAAGGUCCUUCUAGUACUUAAUCAACAUAUUUUAUAGUAUUUUUAUAUGUUUUGAUUUCAUUUUUAGUUUUUAUUGUUUUAUGUUUAAAUUAUGCAAAAUAAACGUUUUUAUACAAUUUUGAGUUAUGUAAUAAUCUAAUGGGCCACUAUGGGCUUAGGGAUGAUCUAACGACUCUAUCUAGUGUGUAGGACACUGUUUUUGGGCUUAGAAAACGAAGGACGACUGUAGCAUUGAAACACGUGACACCGAGGAGUGGUGUCCAAAGUACCCAGAAAUUAAAGGCAGUGUCACGACACCAGUCUUGUGGUGUCACAACAUCAAGUGAAGAGAUGAAAUUUUAAUUAAGGUAUUUUUUGUCCACACAAAGUAACUUAAACAGCUUUUUUGGGUUGUUUAAUAACCUUAAUUAGGUCUGAUCAUAAACUCUAUAAAUAGAUAUUUUAAGUCUCAUUUGAGGAGGCUUGACUAAUUGAGUCACUUAGUUAUUUUAGGGUUUUACUUUAGUUUUUAUUUUCUUCCAAUUUAAUCCUUUACAUACUUUUUGUUCUUGUUUAACUUGGAUUCAAUUGUGCUCCAAUAGUUUAAUAUAUUAGUUUUUUUGUUAUUUCUUCGUGGAUUCCAAUUGCAAUCGAAGGGAUCUUCGUGACUAUCAAAGGAGAUUCGCUUUCGAGCUCAAAUCGAUAUUGAAACGAACUUAUUUUUCUAUUCCUUACUUUUAUUUAAUUUACUGUUUUUUUAUGUUAAAUAUGAGUUUAAGGAUUAUUGCAUCUAGACCACGAAGAGCUAAUUUCCUUAGGGAGAUUAACGAACGAAUGUGUGACUAAUUAACGGAUGAAUUAAGGUUGAGAUUCGAGUUAGCUGGUUUAAAUUAUGUGCGACUAAACCCUAGGAAGUAACACCCCUAGGAAGUAAUUUAGGAUAAACGAGAUCGAGAGAUAAGUUUACUGAGUACCUCAUAAUUUAUCCAGGUUAAGAAAGUGAGAACAAGAGGUAAGCGAGUAUUGGUCGAUUAGUUAAUUAGUUAGAGACUGAAAGGUAAUAAUUGAUUAAUUAAUAGCUAACUCGAUAAAACCUAAGUUCUGAAGUUAAUUAGGAGCACUGAAGUGAGUUGAUAUCCUUCUUGUUUUAUUGGAUUAAAUUUGGUUGUUAAUUGGUUGAUUUUUAGUUUAAUUUAAUUAAUUGAUGUUAAUUUUAUUUUUUGUAAUAUAAUUUUAAAUUGAUAUUAUUUAACCUCAUUAAUGUAGAGAGUUAAUUUAGGUCUAAUUCAACCUCCCUUGAGUAUGAUCCUUGGAAUGUUUCUCGAAGUGUUUUUUUGUAAUACUAAUCUGUAUUACAAUUUGACCUGUAUAUUUGCGGACAUCACUGUUUAAUUAUUUAUCUAUUUUAUUGCAAUAUUUUUAGUUCAGGUGUUCGCAACAUUGACCAUUUGGGUAAUGAUGUUUGGUAGAUUAGAGAAGAAUAAAUCAUAAUUUGGGGAAACUUCCCUCAGAGUCAAGACACUCUCUUAUUGGUGUCGCGGCAUUGAUUUUUUGUCCUCGUAGUCGCGAUUCUCCCCUAUUAAGGUUGCAACAUUGAAUCCCCCUGCCUUCAAGGUCGCAACUCACCUCGAUUAAAGUCGCGAUGCAUGUUUCUGUCUUCAAUGUUAUGAUAUGUCUACAUCAUGGUCGUGAUAUCUCAUUUGUCUUUUGAAAAUUUUACGUUUUAUUCCUUCCAUUAAUAUCGAUGUUAACAAGGGAUUUCAUAUACUAGUUUAUAAUCUGAAUUUAAUUUAAUAAUACGGUUAUUAAGUUUUGGAACCUGAUAACUUGUUUAUUAGAUAUGCAAAUGCAAUUGUCGUUGUUUUGACAACAAAUUUAACAUUUCACAUCUCGGAUCUCGCGAUUAGUUCAGGUGUGGGAUGUUGUAUAUUACCAUAAUCUUAUUCACACAUAUGAUUUGCUUGGAUGGUAACCAAGUCCUGGUGGCAAUAGCUUGCAACGCAACAUAUGUCAGUUCCAACUCAAAAAAUUCUAAAAUCUUGCCCAUUAGGCCAAAUCUUCCUCAAUCCGUUAGUAAAAAGUUCUACCAAAUUGUCCUUGUCAAGGGUGGAGUCCGUCUUCUCUUGAAUGCUUCAAAUACUUGAUGAUAGUUGGACUAAAGAUGAAAUAAAGUCCACGAACAUAUGUUUGCAUAAAGUGUUUAUCAUUAGGAUCAGUGACUGUCUUCUAAAGAUUGGUCCAAAACCAUUUUUUGGACAUAAGGCUUGACACAAC